UACGUAGGGUGCAAGCGUUAAUCGGAAUUACUGGGCGUAAAGCGUGCGCAGGCGGUUAUGUAAGACAGUUGUGAAAUCCCCGGGCUCAACCUGGGAAUUGCAUCUGUGACUGCAUAGCUAGAGUACGGUAGAGGGGGAUGGAAUUCCGCGUGUAGCAGUGAAAUGCGUAGAUAUGCGGAGGAACACCGAUGGCGAAGGCAAUCCCCUGGGCCUGCACUGACGCUCAUGCACGAAAGCGUGGGGAGCAAACAGG
rnacentral:rRNA from 1 species